rnacentral:lncRNA from 1 species
GCAGUUUAAACAGUACCAAGUGAAAAACAAAAGUGAAAAUAUGGGAACAUUGUUUUUUAUGGAAUUAAAAUGUAAAAUGCAAUGUCAUAUCAAAGCACCAGGGAAACGAAGGUCUAACAGAAUUGUACCAAGUUUUAAAUGGAAAUCAAGAGCAAAAGGUCUAACUUUUUGGAGAAGACCUUCAUAUCUGGCAUCCCUUUUCAUAUUCUCUUCAGACUCUGAGCACUUGACAAAGCAAUGGAGAGCAAAAUUUGUGUUUUCAUCAACUCCGACGUUGUGCAUGAAAUUUUUCAGUGCUGAGAGCUUGUGUUUGACUUUCAAUCCAAAUAGCCCAGUAAAAUUUCAGUGAGCUUUUUAUUCAGGAACGGAGCAUUCCUGUAUCACACCUUCAUAAGAAAAGACCACUAAGAAUGAGUGUCCCUCGAGAGUUCAGCAACACAUCUCUUGAAAAUGAAGAAACAGUAAGCUGUGUCCCCUAUAGAGCGAAAAAUUUUGUCCUAUGUAGAACACAGGGGGCAAUCAAGAAAAGUAACAACACCAAUCAGUUUACUAUAAAGGUGACUGUUUUUCCAACAACGAUUAUUAGUAUAUGAAAGUGUUACAACAUCAGAGAAACUGGAAGGGAAUAUAUUCAAAACUUACAUUGUGUGCUUGCAAAGAAGAAAAAAUAGGAUUUGUCACAAGAUGUUUGAAGAUGGACUAACGACUAAAUAUAACAAGCAUAAAAGAUGUAGCAAACAAAAGCAAUCACUUAAAAAGGGUAUUCAAUUGGCAUUAGCGUAUCCAGAAACUCCAUAUGUAGUUACUCCAGGUACUUCAAUCAUGGACUCUCCUGAUAGUCUUGCUCAGGCAAUUGCUGUUGUUAUUUCGAUUAAUGGAGUAGCUCAUUUUGUUUAGAAUUAAUAUAAAUAUGAGUGUUUCCUAAUGUUUCUUCAUGCUGCUUGUUGGAGAAUGAAUACUGCUUCAAUAGGAUGUUAAAUUACUUGUUAAACAAAAAUAAAUUUGCUUUAUGAACUGAUGAGAAUUUUCUUUUUUUUAAGAUGUGGUAGAACUUAAAAAAUAUAAAUCUUUUUGUUAACAUGCAUAAAUCUCCUGUUGAUUGAUGAAAUUAUAAUGUAUGAAUUGUUAGUGAUUUAAAAAAAAAUCUUAUUUUUUAUUGUUGACAAUGACACAUGAUCCAUUACAUUUAAUGUCUUAGGUACUGAAUUUGAUUGUAAUACAGUACAGUACCUCUUAUCCGGAAAUCAGAAAACCGGAACGAAAUUCAAUACAUCUUCCCGCCAUUUUUAUAAAAAAAAAUUUCCUCAGAAGAUUUCAAUAUUCUUCUUUCUUUUUUAAAAGAUGUUAACCAUCAUUUUAGAAAUAAUCAUUAGUUCCCUACACUGUCAAAAGAAGUAAGAGUUUUUUUAAAUUAUUCUAAUUAUGUAUAUAUAUUUUUUAGUUGAGUUUGACAGUAAAAAAAACUGCUUUUUGUAGCUAUUCCAAAAACCGGAAAAAUCAGUUAUCCGGAAUAGCGAUGGUCCCGAUCGUUCCGGAUAAUCGGUUCUCUACAGUAUUAUGUUAUUGAUAAUUUAUAUAAUAUAUUUUUAUUUAUAUAUUAUAAUUUAUAUUAUAUGUUUUUUAUUUAAAAGUUAUAUUUACUAUGAAUUUAAAAUUCUCAUGGGUAAAAAUUUUUAUUUUAAUUGUACCAUUCACUUGCUCAAAUUUGAUGAAUCUGUAGAACUUUUAAUGUUGAGAAUGAAAAUCUUAUUCAGUAUUCAAGUAUUAAAUUUGUAAUGAAAUUCUAAUAUCCAUCUUAUUAAAUAGCAGAUAUUGCAUAAAUUUGUUCUAUUGUCUUAAACUCUCCAUUAAUAUUACAACUGUGAUUAAACCUUUAAUUUGCCCUCUGUAGUUAUCUUUUUAUAAAAUAUACAAUCCUAAAACUCAGUUAAAAGACAUUUUUUUAGACAACCUUCUGUACUGCUACCCCUUAAUUUGAAAAUUAUAUUACAAAUUUAAUGCAUUGAUAUAUUUUAAAAAGUUGAGCAAUAAAUCUACUAUUUCAAAACAAUAAUGCUUAGUAUAUAAUUGUAAAAAGCUUGAAAAUAUAAGUCACUUAUUGUGUUGUAUUAACUAUACGCAUAAUGAACAAAUUAUUACUAACCCUAAUCCACGCACAUCCUGUGAAAAAAAUUUUAUUAGCCAAAAAUAAUGGCAGAACUAAGCUAUUUUUGGCUUAUAAAAGUUUCAUGUGUCGUGAUUACUGUAAUUUUCCUUCAGUGAUGAUUGAAACAAUUUGCAGGUUUCCCAACAGUGCCAUAAAUGAAACCAUGAUGUUUUGCAAAAAUUUAAAUGUAGCCUCAAGUCCUACCCUGGUGUGUGUAGAUUAGGCUUAUUAUAAUUUUGAUGUUUUGAAUCUUAUUCAAAAUGUGAUUUCAUGUUGCUUCUUUGUAGCAAGAUAAGUUAAAUUUAAAGUUUUUAUUGUGGAAACAAAUAAAAACAUUUGGAUAAUAA